AUGCUUCACCUCGCUCACACAGGAUGCUUCCCCAGGGCUCUGCUGAAGUCUAGCAGAGAUUCAAACGUCUUCUGGCUGGUCAUUGGUGUUUUAAUGACCUCCACAAGCUUCAUCAAAGGCACUGGGUUGAAGAAAUGGAGCCCGGCGAAUCAGUCCUGUCUGGUGGUGGAAUUGGCUAGGCUUGUGAUCUGCAAAGAGGAAGUGUUGCUGGCAAAGAUUGUGUGUUCGGCGGCAAACUUGUCCAGCCUCUUGAACAGCUCGUUCUUCAUCUGCAGAUUCUCUACGAUGGCCUCCACCACCAAGUCUGUGCUGUGGACCACAGAUGCUGCAUCCGUGCUGGUCGAUAUGCUGCUCAGGGUCUUCGCCACAAACUCAUCAGCACCCUUGGGGUUUUCUGCAAACUUCUUCUUGGCCACUUUCCGAAGACUUUCCUCAAUUCCCUUUCUAGAUUUUUCCAGGAUGUCCUCUGUUUGGUCCACCAACACUACUGUGUGGCCAGUUGCUGCAGCAACCUGGGCAAUGCCGGCGCCCAUCAGCCCACCGCCGAUGACCGUCACGUGCUUGACGAGGAUUUUUUUCGCCGAGGCCUCGGCGCUGGAGGAGGAGGACAUGGAGCGCACGAACUGCCUGGUUACGAAAGCCAUGGAGCAGAUGGCGAAAACAGCGACAGGCACAAGACCUGGCUAAGUAGCAACCUGCACGGAGCCCAAGAAACAGCAGCGACCCGACGUCAGGGGGCGGAGGCCCAGGCGCCCUGUCUCAGCUUUUGAAUAUGCUAUCUAGGUUGGUCAUAACUUUCUUUCCAAGGAGUAAGCAUCUUUUAAUUUCAUGGCUGUAAUCACCAUCUCCAGUGAUUUUGGAUCCCCCCAAAAUAAAGUCUGACACUGUUUCCACUGUUUCCCCAUUUAUUUCCCAUGAAGUGGUGGGACCGGAUGCCAUGAUCUUUGUUUUCUGAAUGUUGGGCUUUAAGCCAACUUUUUCACUCUCCACUUUCACUUUCAUCUAGAGGCUUUUUAGUUCCUCCUCACUUUCUGUCAUGAGGGUGGUGUCAUCUGCAUAUCUGAGGUGAUUGAUAUUUCUCCCAGCAAUCUUGAUUCCAGCUUGUGUUUCUUCCAGUCCAGCGUUUCUCAUGAGGUACUCUGCAUAGAAGUUAAAUAAACAGGGUGACAAUAUACAGCCUUGCUAUGCUAUGCUAUGCUAAGUCACUUCAGUUGUGUCCAACUCUCUGUGACCCCAUAGACGGCAGCCCACCAGGCUCCCCCGUCCCUGGGAUUCUCCAGGCAAGAACACCGGAGUGGGUUGCCAUUUCCUUCUCCAAUGCAUGAAAGUGAAAAGAGAAAGUGAAGUCGCUCAGUCGUGUCUGACUCUUAGCGACCCCAUGGACUGCAGCCUACCAGGCUCCUCCAUCCAUGGGAUUUUCCAGGCAAGAGUACUAGAGUGGGGUGCCAUUGCCCUCUCCUGGAUACAGCCUUGACAAACUCCUUUUCCUAUUUGCAACCAGUCUGUUGUUCCAUGUCCAGUUCUAAUUGUUGCUUCCUGACCUGCAUACAGAUUUCUCAAGAGGCAGGUCAGGUGGUCUGGUAUUCCCAUCUCUUGAAGAAUUUUCCAGUUUAUUGUGAUCCACACAGUCAAAGGCUUUGGCAUAGUCAAUAAAGCAGAAAUAGAUGUUUUUCUGGAACUCUCUUGCUUUUUCCAUGAUCCAGUGGAUGUUGGCAAUUUGAUCUCUGGUUCCUCUGCCUCUUCUAAAACCAGCUUGAACAUUAGGAAGUUCACGGUUCACAUAUUGCUGAAGCCUGGCUUGGAGAAUUUUGAGCAUUACUUUACUAGCAUGUGAGAUAAGUGCAAAGGUACCUCACCCUGAAGCCUGUGCUCUGCAACAAGAGAAGCCAGCGUGAUGAGAAGCUCGUGCACUGCAGUUGGAGAAUAGACCCCAGUCACCAUGGCUAGAGAAAAGCCCAGGCAGCAAUGAAGACCCAGCACAGCCAGAGAUAAAUAAUAAAAAAAAAUGAAAUUUUAAAAUUACUCAAGCCGAUAGAAGUCAGUUGAUGAGGAAGACUGUGAAGAACAGAGGACCAGAAAGAGGUUAGGAAUGCGGUGGGUGUGUUUAAGUUUCCAAAGGCCAAUCAGGGGUGCCCUCUCUGCUCUUGUGAGUUUAGGACAGAGACUGGAAGAGAGUUCAUCGCAUUUCUAAAAUUGCAGAACGAGGAAAGUGAAUCUUUAUGAAAUCUCUGCAGGGGUGAUGCUUUUCUAAACUCUGAUGGCAGAAACAGAUAAGUAGACAUUCCUUUGUGGUGUUUAAAAAAUUCUGAAAAACCCAGCCCCUUAAAACAUUGUAGAAGAUUACAUGCAAGGCAAUGGGUGCUGGGGUGUAUGCCUUUGUGUGUGACUUAGAAGCUCACCUGAGAGGGGGUCUUAGGAAGAACAUGAGAAAGAGGGAAGGAGGGGGCACUGCAGAGAAAGAAGAGCAUCAUGAUGGGAUCUUUGGGAGGUCCCCUCCUGCACCCCAUUUCAGAGCCCUGAUCACCAGCCCCAGGGCCAGCCGUCACAGCCCCCACACCCUCCUGUCUCUGAUUGGAGUCUGGGAGGUUAAAUGAGUCAUUUCUCUUUGCAGGUGCUGUGAUCAGGUGCUCUUGUUCUAUAUAUAAAACUCCGGUGCUCCUGUGCGGAUAUCCAGAAAGCUCGAUUAAUCCCAAACAUCCUUUCCCACAGAGAUGUCCCAAAAUAAAAUCUUCAGCACAUGUAGAGUGGCUUAACUGUUUCCUUGAUUGAAUGACUGAAUUUAAGUUUAUGAAGGGUUUUUUGUGAGGAGGAUACUGAACUUUAUUCCCCAAGUUCACAGGCAGCUGAGGAAGAAGACAGGUGCUCACGUUUAAGCUGGGGAGUUUGUGGCUGGACAAAAAGAAGAACUUAACCCACUGAGGACCGAAAUGGAAGAACCGGCUGCAUGGAGCAGUUAGGGAAGUUCCAUCUACAGAUGCACAAGGAGAAAAGAGAUGUGUCAGCUGUCUCAUUGACACUUGUCGAUAGAGCAGAAAAUAGACUCUAUCAUAUUCAUCUUGAAGUCUAGAUAUCUAGCUUAGUGCCUGAUACAUGGUAGACAAGCCUGCCUGAAAAACAUAUUUAAAAAAGGGACUGGGGGAAUGAACUGGUGAAAUGGUGCCAGUGAUGCAGCAGAUACGGGCAAUAAUAAGAUGAGAUGAUUCUCUGAAGCAUCUGCCUCAGUGCUCUAGGGCCACAGUAACACUGCAUAACAAACAAUUCCAAAGCCUUAGGGAGGGUAGGGCGGUACACAUUUAAUUCUGCUUAUGAUGAGUUUGAGCAAAUUCCAGGAGAUAGUGAAGGACAGGGAAGCCCAGCAUGUUACAGUUUAUGGGGUCACAGAGUCGGACACGACUUCGCGAUGGGACAACAAUGAAUUAAUGCAUAGCUGAGUGGCACGACUGGUUCUGCCUUGGACCUUCCUGUCUCUGCUGGGACAACCUUUGCUCUGUAAAGUCAGCCAAUCCGCCAUCCUCCAUGCUUGUGUUCAUGGUGGACUCAAGGGCCCGAGAGAGCAGAAGUAAGAACCCAUUUCUUCUGCCACAUUCCUGACCAAAGGAAGUAGAAAUCUAGUCCAGAUUUAGGGUGUUUGGAAAUAGACAGGACUUCUUAAUGGGAAAGUUAUAUUGCAAACCUUGGAUGGUGGGGGGGAGGCUUAAAAAAAUGCGGACUUUUUUGCAGUCAUACUUAGCACCUCCUAUCUAGUUAUUCUCUUCUUUAAAACAACAACAAAAAAGGUAAAAUUUAAAAUGCUACCAUUGGUGUGGGGAGGGAGGAGGGAGGAGGGUUCAGGAUGGGGAACACAUGUAUACUAAUUAAAUAAUUAAAAAAAAAUAAAAUGCUACCAUAACAAAUUUUAAAAGUAAUAGGGCAUAUAUAAAUAUGUAACUACAUUGAGUUAAAAAGAAAAAUUGAUGUAGGAGGUGGUAUAGACUGUGCCUUAAAAGAUAAAUGUGUUUGGCAAAGUUGAGAUGAGUCAGAGACAUAGCCGACAGAGGAAUAAGCAGGGACGUAGGCACAAAGGUAGGAGGGAACAUGAGGUACUUGGAGGUGGAGAGAAAUAGGGUUCAGAGCAACAGCAUAUAGGGCAUCAAUGGUGGGAAGAGGAGCUAGUUAGUAUCAGGCUGUACUAUGCAGAUAUCUGGCUUAUUUACAUUUACUUGCUUACAGGUCAUCUUUCCUACUGGAGUGUAAGCUCCAUGAAAACAGAAAUUUUGAUUUCCCCAGCUUAGAGCUCUGUCCAGCACAUAGCAGGGCUCAGAAAGUACUCGUUGAUUGAAUGGAUGGAAAAGAGCCUUGUCAGCCUUGUGGGGGGAGUUGGACUUUACCCCAGGAGUAGUGGGAAGGGAUCAAUUUUUGAUAAGCAGUGAAGACUGUGAGAAGAUUUGAGUUUCAGGAGGACAGUCUGAUGCUAGAAGAAAUGAAGACAGAUGGAGUUUGGAGUUUGGAGCAUGGAGUCAUGGUGACGUUGCUGGAGGCAAGGGCAGCAAGAAACUGGGUCAGAGUUUCACAAAAGAAAGGGCUGCAGACAGCUCCCAGCUUUCCGGUGUGGGCCUAACAGCUGAAGGGAUAGCAUGAAAGUGAAGGUGUUAGCCACUCAGUUGUGCCUGACUCUUUGCACUCCCAUGGACUAUAGGUCUCCAGGCUCCUCUGUCCAUGGCAUUCACUAGAUAAGAAUACUAGCUGGGUAACCAUUCCUUUCUCCAGGGGAUCUUCCUGAUUUAGGGAUGGAAUCCAGGUUUCCUGCAUUGCAGGUGGAUUCUUUACCUCCUGAGCAGCCAUUGCUGAUCUACUCAAGAUUUUAUGAGAAACUCAGUGAGAGCUGUUGAUUUUUUC
rnacentral:lncRNA from 1 species